GUCCGGCCUGGUCGAGGCGGGCGGUGAUCUGGGCGAUCUCGGCGUCCGACAAUUUGCCGUCGGCGAUGGUCUCGCCGUCCUGACG
rnacentral:tRNA from 1 species